CCGAAGAAAAAAAGAAUCCAAUAAAUGCAGAGAUGGAGAGAUUCAAGUUAGGAAAUGCAGUACAAGAUUCAAGUACAACUAAGAAGUACAAAAAGCGCAUCUUGUGAAAUGCAAAUUGAGUAUUCCACGUAGCAGCCAAGGCAAUGAGAAUUAUGGUGUACCAGUAAUAUUAAUAUGGUAGUACAAUUACAAAGAGUUGCUGUAGUACAAUUUAGUGCUAUAUAUCAAGGCUUUCAUAUGCUGUAAUUGAAGUGAGCAUUUGGAAGCUUAAUACCAGACAGGAGAAACAUCAUUGAGUGCAGCGUUGAUGAAUUCCCCUACAUGACAUAUUUCUGUUGGUUAAUUCAUUACCAAUAUCCCUUCUUUAAAAAAAGAAGUAAACCUUUUUGGGAAUAGAUGGUUUUGGAUGAUUUCACCAGCGCUGCAUUCAAUCAUGUUUUUCACUUUUCUGGAACGGAAACCGCAAGAAGUUGUUUGGACAAGGUAAAUUGUCAAAAUGGAUUUCAGGAUACACUUGCUUUAUUUGUCGUCUUUAUGACAAAGGGAGCUGGAGGGAUUUUUCUUGGUUUCUGUUCGUUGCUUGUCUGCUUCCUUGAUUGUAGUCUGUAGAGCAUGUGCUCUUUUUUACUCAUUAAUCUAUUUUUACUUCAGAUUGGAAAUUGCAAAUUGCAAAUUUUAGACGAUGACUUGUUAACAUGUCAAUGAUAAUGACGAAUAUUGACCUGAUUUACCAGGAAAAAUAAAAAGCAAAAAGGGGUACAUUUGUUUCAAACUUAAUAAUUUCAUUUUCAUUUUAUUCUAUCUCUCUUUUUUCUUUUUCUCUUCCUGAAACAGAUAAUGCUUUUUUCAUUACUUGAAGAGAAUGAGCUACAUCCUGAAUAAGAAGGCGAACUAAAGCCUGAGGUACAAGAAGAGAAAAAGAAUAUCCUGAUUUGCCACUAUAAGCUCGCAUAUCUCUUGCAUUACUGAAGCAAGUUUUCCUGUCGGUGUUUAUUGCACACUUUGUGAUUAUUUUGCUGUCAUGUAAGCAUACUUACAACAACGGGAGAAGUUAAAAAAGGUUGCAAAAGGCAGGAGGGAUAUUCUUGGUUGUCUGUUUCCUUGAUUUUGUAGAUCAUUUGCUAUUUGUGUAACUCAUUGAUCUACCUUUUAAUUUGGAUUGCAAAUUGUAUAUUUUAGAUUGUGACCUUUUAAUCAAACUGUCCUACUAGUUAAUGAGCAAGAAUUUUUUAUAUUUUUGAGCUUA